rnacentral:rRNA from 1 species
CCUACGGGUGGCAGCAGUGGGGAAUAUUGCACAAUGGGGGAAACCCUGAUGCAGCAACGCCGCGUGAGUGAUGAAGGUUUUCGGAUCGUAAAACUCUGUCUUUGAGGAAGAUAAUGACGGUACCCAAGGAGGAAGCCACGGCUAACUACGUGCCAGCAGCCGCGGUAAUACGUAGGUGGCGAGCGUUAUCCGGAUUUACUGGGCGUAAAGGGAGCGUAGGCGGAUGAUUAAGUGGGAUGUGAAAUACCCGGGCUCAACUUGGGUGCUGCAUUCCAAACUGGUUAUCUAGAGUGCAGGGGAGGGGAGGUGGAAUCCCUAGGGAGCGGGUGAAUGCGGUGGGGUUAGGAAAAAACCCAAGUGCGAAGGGGACUUCUUGGACUGUAACCUGCCGCGAGGCUCGGAAGGCGUGGGAGCAAACAGGAUUAGAUACCCGGGUAGUC